UACAGAGACCUCAAGCGUUAUCCGGAAUCAUUGGGCGUAAAGCGUACCGAUAGGUGGUUAUACAAGUCAGAAGUGAAAUCUCCGAGCUCAACUCGGAAUCUGUCUUUUGAAACUGUAUGACUAGAGGGGCAAAGAGGAAGCUGGAGCGAACGGUGUAGUAGUGAAAUGCGUUGAUAUCGUUCGGAACACCAAUAGCGUAGGCAGGCUUCUGGGUGCCACCUGACACUGCUAGGACGAAAGCGUGGGGAGCGAAUGGG
rnacentral:rRNA from 1 species